rnacentral:rRNA from 1 species
ACACGACUACAUUAGAUACCCGCGUAGUCCUAGGCGUAAAUGAUGCGAGUUAAGUGUGGGGGCAUCUACGAGAUGGCCCUGUGCUGUAGGGUAGCCGUUAAACUCGCUGCCUGGGAGUACGGUCGCAAGGCUGAAACUUAAAGGAAUUGGCGGGGAGCACCACAACAGGUGGAGCCUGCGGUUUAAUUGGAUUCAACGCCGGACAUCUACACCGGAUAAGACAGCUGAAUGAUUGUCAAUCUGAAGGUUUUACAUGACUAGCUG